UCCCUGGUGGUCCAGUGGUUAGGACACGGCACUUUCACUGUCGUGGCCCAGGUUCAAUCCCUGGCUGGGGAA